UCCACAUAGAUAAAAGUCUCCUCCAAGCUCUUACCAUCUUGGUUUGAUCCAGUUCUGCCAAAUGCCAUCCUGUUGCAUGGUCAAAUAGUGAAAUAUAUAUCUUAGCUACACUUCUCUUCAUGCUGAGGAGGAGAUUUUCAGAAAUAAUUGUGCAGGAUCAUGUUAUCUCCAAAUCUUUCCUUCAAACUUCCUUUGUGGUUGGUGGUUGUUGUGGGGUUUUUUAUUUGUUUUGGUUUUUUUCACCACUGUGUCAAUUAAAUGCUGAGAAAACUGCUGUGCUAUGCUCCCAGACCUGCACUUCCAUUGGGUCUUCUGCUUCCUGGUUACACCUGCACUGCAAGGUCUCUGGAGCAGAGCCAGCUUCUUGUGUUUGUGCAGUGCCACCCACAGCAAAGCCCAUUUUAUGACUAGGACUUCUGGAGGACAUCGACCAGUUCUGCAAACCACAGCAAAGUAUCACUGUGACAAGCCCCAAAAAGUGCUCUGCAGAGUCCCUUGCCAGAGGAAAAUCUGCAUCAUCAGACCAGAAAUCCAGCUCCUCACAAGUCUUUCAGUGAUGAUGAUACUGUCCUUAGUCAUAUUGCUCCUUGACCUGACAGAAGGAGAAAUGUGAACCUGAUUGGUGGUCUAAUCAUGAAACUAGAAGAUGUAGAAUGAUGCACCAUCACAUGCUCUUCUUUGAUUUAAGGAAUGAUAUCUAAUCCCCAGGCCAUCCAGUCCUCUUUUUUUCUUAUUGAAGUUUUAAGCUAGCAAAACAGUUAUAAUCUGGUUCAAACAAAUGAAAUGUUAGCCUGAAUCAAAGUAUUCUGAUUAAGCUACAUUAAACAUUCGCUUAAAUGUCAGUUUUGAAUCAAGAGGUGGCUGUUUUAUCUCCUCAGACCUACCAAAGAUCCCAAAGUGUGUAAGUAUCAAUAAGAUUUAGGUGAUUUUAGAAAAAUCACACUGCAUUAAAAUCAAUCCAGUUCACAGAUCUGUUCUCCUCUUAAAAGCUACUUAUCCAAGCUCAGUCCACAGCACUGCUUUAGUCAAAUACACCAGAAUCAAA